CUGCGCUUUGGCGCGGCCGACCGUCGUGAAGCUGUCUUUUCACUCCUCCUCCCGUUGCGCUUCUUUUGCAGGGGAGGGACGCGUUGUCGGCUGUCUGUGUGGUUCUACCCUUGCGGGGAAUAACAUUCUGUUCCAAGAGUUAAUUUUUGCUUGCCCCGUCAAUAUUUUUUGUUGUCGGGGCAGCCGAUUGUUGGCUAAAUGCUUGCGCUCCAGCGGCUGAAUGCCCCUGUUCUCCGCGCUUGGAUUUUGUCGGCUCUCACGGAUGCCGUGUCCAUCGAGGAAUCUGUUGGCCUCUGGUCCCGGGUUUCCUAGGGAGGUCCCUUGUACGGAUCAUUGCUCUGCCGCGCUGCUAUCUUGUCCCGGGUGCUGGGAUGUUGUAGCGGUGCGCGCGGGGCGUGCUCCUGUGCGUGCGAGACGUUUGCCCGAUUGAAUGAGCGACCGCCGGUUCACGUCUUGUGAGCGGACUCCUACUCAUUUAGGGUUCGCCGCAACGAUGUGUCGGCUCUCGUUUAAGACGUGCUACCUGGUUGAUCCUGCCAGUAGUCA
rnacentral:misc_RNA from 1 species